AUGUCGGCGGGACUCGAAGCCGGCGUUGGGCGGAGGACUUCGCUGGGAUCCGCGAGGGUUGUAGGCGUCCAUGGCCGCGGGGAUGGGAGAGGGUCUCGCCGGCAACGACGGAGCGACGAGGUUGGGCGCCGAGCAAGCCGUGGAGGUACACCGGUUCUAGCUUACCGGGGAGUCGCUCGUCGGGGAAGAUUCCUGUGUUGGGCUGACCAUGGCUGGGAGUUUGGAGGUAGGGGAUUGGUAGCUCGGAGUGGAUUGGUAGCAGAGAGAGACCAGGGACAACGAGUGGUUGCGCUAUGUUGUGGGGGAUAA
rnacentral:rRNA from 1 species